GGGGAAGCCGGUGUAAAUCCGGCGCUGACCCGCAACCGUGAGCCGCCCGCAAGGGCCCAGCCGGAAUGCCC
rnacentral:ncRNA from 1 species